rnacentral:lncRNA from 1 species
CUUGAGCUACUCGUAUAGAGUUAAAGUGGUCCAAGUACUCCUCAGUAGUCGGGAAAUGUUCUUCCUCGGGCUCGGUCUUUGGUUCCUUCUUGGCUUUCUUGGCAUGGUCGGGUACAUGGGGAACUAUGGCUCUCAGCUCAUCUCCAUCGAUCUCAGUGGCUGCCUGCUCCCCAUUCCUUUUUGGUUCAAGGUUUGGAACCAGAGUGAGCUCGGCGUUCCUUGCUCGCUUGGCGGCUGGCUCACCAUCGGAUCUCACGAAGGGUUUCUUGCUUGUUCCACCAUUGCGUGCUACGGCCACGGCUUUCCCUUUCGUGCUCCUCCUCUAGACCUCAUUUUUGUUCGUCUCAUGAGUGGGAACAGCUCGGUCGCCGGUCAUCUGCAAGACAGAUCCUCAAAGAAACCGUUAGAAUCAAGUACAACGACAAGCACAGGUUUCUGAAGAUAGCAAAGACAGAGCUUUUUCUCUAACAAGAUCAUAGUUAUAGCUUUGUCAUACAUCAAAGAGAGAAGUAAGAACAAGCCAGAACAACCGAUUAGAGACAAGUUAUCAAGACAUUUCAGCUCAAGUACACAAAUCAUCAUUAAGACCGAUUUCAAGCGCAUUUUCUCAAGAAUUUUAAAAACUCAAGAACAAGUGAUUUUCAGAUCAAAAACCGGUUUUUCUUGUGUUGUCUAUCCUGAUGGAAUUUUUAAAAUUGUUCCCAGAGGUCGAUAUGUUCUAAAAGAAUCGAUUCCACAUUUUACAAACUUAAAAGCUCGCAAAGAAUGAAGGAAAAAAGAUGAGUUCUUUAAGAAGCAAAUACCUUUGGGAAUCCAAGAUUCAAGUUUAGUGGAAUGCUUAUGAUGAAUAGACAACACCCUAGCGAGUCUAGAACGCUUGGAAUCACAAGAAAUGGAUGAGAAAUGAGAGAGAUAUGUUCGUGAAAUGCAGAGAAAAGAGAGAAGAAGGCGAACUCUCGGUUUUGGCUCGGGAUGGAGGCUGGUAUGGGCGGUGUCGCGCUUUCCAGCUGGCGCUUGGACUGUAGUGGGACUGGUCCCCCCUUCUCCUCCAGCUGCGACCGUUGACCCGCGCCAAAACAGCUUUGACCGGGCGUUUAAAUUCAAAUUACCGCGCAAAGGCUUCCAAAUGGCGCGACUUUGGAAUGACGUGAGCCGUACGGACUAGAGUGGUUUUUCUCGUGUUCUCUUGAGCGGCCUCGACUUGUUCUACCUCGAGGGCACUAAGCCGAGUGGGCUAAGUUCAAGUUAACAAGAAUUUCCCCGCGGCCUUCAAAUCUUUUCCUUAGUCCGUGCAAACCUUCUUCUUUGACUCAAGUGUCCCAAGUGUUUAUGUUUUUGAUUGUUCUUGAAACUGGGCACCUCGGUAUGCUCCACCACGAGGGUAUCAUGCCGAGGUCACUUGUUUUUAACAGAGAACACUUGGUGCUGGGGUUUAAACGGUCCUGCCUUGGUGUAAACUGGUCGCGGCCUCGAUCGAGGUUUUAGACCGUUUGAAGUGAACUUUGCUCCUCGGUAUAAUCAUACCGAGGUGUUUACACCGUGGGCCUCCCCCACACUUAGUCAUCUCACCACAUAACUUCUUAAGCACGGCCACGGUGAAAUUAAGUCGAGGAGUUUAGCUGAGGUUCUCAAGCUAUUACUCGGUAAAAGGUGAUCGCGGUAUGUAUAUACCAAGGGUCGAUACCGAGGCUACGUACACUCUAGGACUUAAUUCAUCAGGCCAUGUCAUUUUCGAGCUUUUUCUUAUUCUCAUCAUCAAGAUUCACCAUCUAACUCCUGAAACACUUAACAAAACCUUCAAAAAGCUUCAAGUAAAAAGAAAAAGAAGAUGAAAAACGAAAUAUUUACAAGGAUAAGCUUGGGGUGUCUCCCAAGAGCACUUUGUUUAUCGUCACUAAGUUUGACUUUCCAUACCUUUUCAGGAUGAUUCUGGUUCAAGAAGAGGAACUGAGGUAGCUCCCUCUCUUGUUUCUGAUGCCAGGUAGUGUUUUACCCUCUGACCGUUUACUACAAAGCCUUGUCCAUCUUUUCCUUUCAAAACAACCGCUCCAUAAGGCCUUACUUCAAGAAUUUCGAAUGGACCGGACCAUCUGGAUCUCAACUUCCCAGGGAAUAGCUUGAGUUUCGAGUUAAACAGCAGAACUUGGUCUCCUUUUUUGAACUCUCUCUUGUGUAUCUUCUUGUCAUGAAGCGCCUUGGUCCUUUCCUUGUAGAUCUUAGAGCUCUCAAAAGCAUCUAACCUGAUUUCCUCAAGCUCAUGAAGCUGUAAAACCCUCUUCUCUUCUGCAGUCUUGAUGUCAAAGUUCAGAAGUUUCACUGCCCACAAUGCUUUGUAUUCCAACUCAACCGGUAGAUGACAGCUUUUCCCAUAGAGCAAGUUAAACGGUGAGGUUCCAAUGGGGGUCUUGUACGCGGUUCUGUAAGCCCACAAAGCAUCAUCAAGUUUCUUGCUCCAAUCCUUCCUAGAUGAGCUCACGGUUCUUUCUAAAAUAGCCUUUAUCUGUCGGUUAGAGACCUCCACUUGACCACUAGUCUGCGGAUGAUAAGGUGUGGCCACCUUGUGCUUUACUCCAUGCUUCCUUAAAAGACUCUCAAGAGUCUUAUUGAUAAAGUGGCUUCCCCCAUCACUGAUUACUACUCUUGGAACUCCAAACCGUGGGAAAAUGAUACUUUUGAAAAGCUUUACCACCACUUUUGAAUCGUUAGUUGGGGAUGCAACAGCCUCGACCCACUUGCUCACAUAGUCCACCGCGACAAGGAUGUACUGGUUUCCGUUUGAACUCACAAAGGGACCCAUGAAGUCAAUGCCCCAACAGUCGAAGACCUCGACCUCAAAGAUUGGGUUUUGGGGCAUCUCAUUCCUCUUGGAUAUGUUACCGUGCCUUUGACAAGCCUCGCAUCUCGAUACCACAUCUUGAGCGUCCUUGAACAUAGUCGGCCACCAGAAGCCGCUUUGCAAAAUCUUGGCAACCGUCUUGAAUGCACCUAGGUGACCACCGUACACUGAACCGUGGCAUUCUUGUAGCACCGGAUGGAUCUCUUCUUCGGCCAAGCAUCGCCUAUAGAGAUGGUCCUUGUUAAGCACGUAAAGAUACAGCUCAUCCCAAUGAUAUCUCAUCACAUCUCUAAAGAACUUUUUCCUCUGAUAGGCAUCAAGAUCCGGUGGCUCUAAACCGCAAGAUAGGUAGUUCACAAGAUCCGCGAACCAUGGGAGGCUUCUUUCCUUGAUCGUGUUGGCCUCUUCCACCUCUAAGUAAGACCGUACCAGCAUGAGAUGUUCCUCAGGUAAAGCAUCGUCUAUGGGGACCUUUUCUUCAAUCCUCAGCCUUGAGAGAUGAUCUGCGGCCCCAUUUUCUAUGCCUUUCUUGUCAAGUAUUUCCAUGUCGAAUUCUUGGAGCAAUAGGACCCAUCUCAAAAGCCUCGGCUUAGCGUCCUUCUUAGACAUCAAGUACCUCAAGGCCGCGUGAUCAGUGUAGACCGUGACCUUUGAUCCCACUAGAUAACUCCUGAAUUUGUCAAAUGCAAACACAAUGGCAAGCAUUUCCUUCUCGGUGGUUGCAUACUUUUCUUGAGCUGAGUCCAAGGUGCGGCUGGCAUAAUAAAUCACAUGGAGUUUCUUAUCUUUCUUCUGCCCCAAGACAGCUCCCACGGCAUAGUCAGAUGCAUCAGUCAUCACUUCGAAAGGUAAAGACCAAUCGGGAGCUUGUACAAUUGGUGCACUGAUCAAAGCCUCCUUGAUCCUCUUAAACGCUUCCUCACACUCUUCAUCAAAGAUAAACUCCACCUCUUUGCACAAUAGCCUAGUUAAAGGCCUAGCUAUCUUGGAGAAAUCCUUAAUGAACCGCCUAUAGAACCCAGCGUGCCCAAGAAAGCUUCUUAUCCCUUUUACAGAAUUCGGAGCUUGUAGGUUCACCAUUACCUCGAUUUUGGCCUUGUCUACCUCAAUUCCCUUCUCUGAUACCUUGUGCCCCAAGACAAUGCCUUCU